rnacentral:lncRNA from 1 species
CUCACACCUCCCUGCUGCUGCCCACCUUGUGGCCACCCUGUCCCUCUGUGGUGACUGCACUAUUCGUCCUGGGCUGCCUGAGCUUUCCAGUCCUGAGAAAAGUGCAGGGGGGCGGGGGUUGUUAUUGGAAGUCACCCCGGGCAAUGAACUCAAUGGAAAACCCUGGUUACUAAAGUCAGUUCCAUUAGCAUCUCUGUUUUUCUGAGUCUGGCAGCUUUCGUUUGCUCACCAAAUGUAGUUAUACACAAAUUUCGGACUGCUUUAGAGCAGGAUGGAGGACAGGAAGAAGAAGGAAGAUUUUCUGGAAGUUCCACAUAGGACAGUGCUUACAAAUCAUUGGCUUAAAGUUCUCAGGGUUGAAGUUCCC